rnacentral:lncRNA from 1 species
CCUCAACAGACGUAUUGGGGACUUCAGUGAGGAAAGACUAUAGUAGGUCACUCCAGAAUUCUAUGUGCAGUAAAAAUAUCCUUCAAAAUUGAAGAACCACUCCGCUGUGACCAGUGUGGGUUGGAGCGAGCUUGGAAGGCAGAGAGACACCAUCCCCACCAGGUAAACACUGGCCUGACUCGGCAGCCACUACAGGAACCUCUGGCCAGACCACCACUUCCAAAGCCCAGGUGUCAAGAGCCCACUGAUGCCAGCUUGUUUACCACCGAGAACUAAGCAUCAUUGGAGCAGUCUAUGUCAGCGAUGGCGAAUCUUCUAGAGAUCAGUGCCCAGACUGCAACCUGAAACCCACUUAUUGCAAAGUGCCCACACUGCAGUUAAACCUGAAAACUGAGGUUUUAGUUUAGAAAAAACAACUCCUACAUUAACAUCUUUUGUCUUAAAAAACAUCGCACAUGCCAUAGAUUUGCCGCUACUGGUCAAUCACCCUGCAGUUCCAACUCAAUGUGUUUCCAGAAAAGGCAAAACUAUGGAGACCCUAAGUUAAUCAGUGGUUGUUGAAGACUAGUGGAGAGAAAGAAGUUCUGCCGGAUACUAUAACGAUGGAUAAACAUCAUACAUGUUGUCAGAUCUCACAGAAUGUACAAUGCCAAGACUGACCUCUCUGUAAACUCUGGGCUGUGGGUGAUGGUAAGAUAUUCACUAGGGUUUGCUGGUCGUAAUAAAGGUAUCUCACUGGUUCCUGUGUGUGUGUGU